ACUCAAAUGAAUUGACGGGGACCCGCACAAGCGGUGGAGCAUGUGGUUCAAUUCGAAACAAAGCGAAAAACCUUACCAGGGUUUGACAUCCUAGCUGCACUCCGGCAGAAACGUCGGAUUCUUCGAGAGUGCUAGGACAGGUGCUGCAUGGCUGUCGUCAGCUUGUACCGUGAGGCGCACCCUUAAGUGGGUCAACAAGCGCAACCCCCAUCGUGUGUUAAAUAUUCACACGAAACCGCCCGCUAAAAGCGUGGAGGAAGGCGGGGAUGACGUCAAGUCAGCACGGCCCUUAUGCCCUGGGCUACACACAUCCUACAAUGGGUGUUUUACAACGAGUCGCAAUACCGCAAGGUAAAGCAAAUCUUUCAAAAGCACCCCCAGUUCAGAUUGAAGGCUGCAAUUUGCCUUCAUGAAGUUGAAAUCGCUAGUAAUCGCGGAUCAGCAGGCCGCGGUGAAUACGUUCUCGGGUCUUGUACACACCGCCCGU
rnacentral:rRNA from 1 species